AGCAUAUCAAUAAGCGCAGGAAAAGAAACCAACAGGGAUUGCCUCAGUAACGGCGAGUGAAGCGGCAACAGCUCAAAUUUGAAAUCUGGCCUCUUGGGGUCCGAGUUGUAAUUUGUAGAGGAUGUUUUGGGUACCGCCCCGGUCUAAAUUUCUUGGAACAGAAUGUCAAAGAGGGUGAGAAUCCCGUCUUGGACCGGCGGUAGGGCCUGUGUAAAACUCCUUCGACGAGUCGAGUUGUUUGGGAAUGCAGCUCAAAAUGGGUGGUAAAUUUCAUCUAAAGCUAAAUAUUGGCCAGAGACCGAUAGCGCACAAGUAGAGUGAUCGAAAGAUGAAAAGCACUUUGAAAAGAGAGUUAAACAGUAUGUGAAAUUGUUGAAAGGGAAGCGCUUGCAACCAGACUUGAGCGCGGCGGUUCCCCUGGCCUUUUGGCCAGGUUACUCCGUCGUGUCCAGGCCAACAUCGGUUUCGAGGGUCGGUUAAAGGCUCCGGGAAUGUAUCUACUCACGGGUAGACUUAUAGACCGGGGUGUCAUGCGGCCUCUCGGGACCGAGGAACGCGCUUCGGCUCGGAUGUUGGCGUAAUGGUUGUCAGCGACCCGUCU
rnacentral:rRNA from 1 species